rnacentral:lncRNA from 10 species
CCGGGAGUUGAGAGAGGAGACAGUUCCUGCUUUUGUCCUGGAUGACCUGGGUCUCAGGGAAAGAACUUCACUAAGACAUGACCUGUCUUCCAGCUCCAGAGGCUGCAGCUGGGAUUUGGGAUUCUGAGACUUCUUGAAGGGGACACAUGGCUGGCUGGCUCCAGUGCCCGGGCUUGAGAGCUCCAGGAUGGCCCUGCCCUGGCCGCUGAGCACCUGGUCUUCCUCCUGCUCCCACGGUUCCCAUGGAAAGUUUCUGGUCUGCAGUGUGAUGCCAGUGGCUCUGGAGCUGCAAAAUGUACACAGCCCCAGGUUCUGAGGGGGACAUUCUGCUUCAUAUUGAAACAAUGGGCUGGACGUGGCAGGAGGGUGUCCAGCCCAGCUUGGGAGAUAUUCAGUGCACUUGGACCUGGUUCUUGGCUAUGGCUCAGGCUGGGCACACACUGAGUUCAGAGUCUGCAGAGAAUUCAGGGCCAGGAGCCAAUCCCUAGUUUAGGCCAGGCUAAGGUCAGGGAUGUUUCUGUUCCUUUACCCUGGAAGGGUCCUGAGAAUUCCUUCCAUCCUCACACCAUGCCAACACCACACCUCCGCUAAUAAUAAACAGGACAUGUGUGCGUGCACGUGACUCCAUCUGGCCCCUCAGAGCCUGGUUAGGGCAGUGCCAUUCCCUUGGUAUAGAAGUGGAAACUGAGGCUCAGAGGGGUGGAAGGCUAUGCCUUGGUGUGGGCAGAAGGGAUGGGAACCCAGGUGUCCUGAUUCUGUGGAGAUGGGAAGAAGGUUUUGUGAGUUGCAGGAGCACAGAGCACUCUCCGCUCCAAGGAGGGAGGGUGGUGAUCCCCUCACUUCAUACCUGGCGAGGGUUUUGUGGGAACAUGCAGACAGCUCUGUCCGCGCCCGGCCUUUGGAGGGCUCAAGGGACUCAUGCCUGAGGGCAAAAGGGGCCUGGGUUGAAGAACUGCGGCUGCUUCUGAAAAGCUGAAACUCCUCCAAGAGACGGUCAAUGCUGCAUGCAUCCUGGGCAACUGAGCCCCUUAAAGAGAGGGGCUCCUCUCCGGGACAAUGGCCCACAGGGGUGCGGCCAGGUAGGAGAGGCCCUGCUCAUCCCCACAGAGCCGUCAGUCCAUCGGAGGAGGCUCUGCUGCGUCCCAGGCAGUUCAGAGCUGUCACACACGGGACUGGGGGGGAGCAGCUGUCCACCUCGUCUCCCUCCCGACCCUGCCUGGCUCCUGAGCCCGAGUGAGGAGGCUGUGUCGGAGUGAUGGACGAAAGCCUGUGGGCAAAGAGAGGAGGUCCAGGCCACUUCCCUGCAAGCAGUCAGCUUACCGCAGGCACCCGUCGUGCAGCAAAUUGUGCUGAAUCAAGGAGCAAGUUUUGAUUCUUACUCAGGACAGGACUUUUUCCACUGCUAGACUGAGGCCGUCUGUGACUCACACUGACCACAGGACUGUCUACUGCUAGAAAGCGACCAGCAAAGUCAUGGUCAUCGCCUGAGCUCCCAUCUGGUCAGGGACAAGGCUCCUUCCCAGUGGACAAGUUUAAAGGGCCAGUGGAUGACAAAAAUCAGAUUGGCUUCCUGAACACAUGGGCUGACUCUCAUCUGUCCAGUAUGUUCCCAGCUCCACUGGCUGGGGGCUUGCCACAGGUGGGGCCACGUGUGACUUUCCUGCCUUCAUUGAUCCGGAGCCUCGCCCCAUCCAUGGGGCAUCACAGGCCUUCAAAAAGAUGUAUUGAAGAGAUGAAGAAAUGUGAUGGUCCCACAGGUCCUUAGUCAUGGACUAUCUUGAAGCGAGGGAGGCCCUCACUGUGGAUCAUGGAGCAGGGAGAAGAGCUGGACGUGAGGGUAGGAGAGGGGAUGGUACCUCCUGCUGCUCUGGGUGCAGCCCCGUUCCUGGAAUGCUUUGGCAGUGGAGGACGAGAUGCUUUCAGCCUUGGAGAGUGGUAUGGGCGUGUACAGGGGGCCCAUCCCAAAGGGGGUCCCAGGUGCCUGUUGGAAGGCACCCCUUUCUCUGUUCCACUCCCCUUGCUGUCUCUGAAGUUGCUGCAUGAUAAUUUCUCUCCACCGUUUCCUCCCUUCUGUUUUCCCCUCUCCCUUCCAUAUUUGCUGAGCACCUAGUAUGUACCAGGCCUUGCUCUAGGCGCUGGGAAGUAGCCUGAGUGAAUGUCUCUCCAGUGCCUCCUCUGGGCAGGUGCUACUCCACGUGUUAGGGUCCGAAAGUGAACCAGGCAGCCCCGGCUAGGAGUCGGCCAUCAGAGCUGGUGCCGGGGUGGACCCAGAGAUCCACCCAGGCGGAAGGAGAGGCUUGAGGAAGGACAGACCAUGGUGCGUCCCAGGGCCAGAAAUUAGGCAGGUGUGAGCAGAACACGGUGAGCAAAAACGUGAGCGGGAAGAUCUGUGGUCAAAUCACGGAGGGCUCUGUGAGAGGCGUUUUGACUGUCUUCUGCUUGUGAGAAGCCACUGAAGGUUUUGAUCAAGGAGUGAUAACAGCAAGC